UUAAAUUGAAGAGUUUGAUCAUGGCUCAGAUUGAACGCUGGCGGCAGGCCUAACACAUGCAAGUCGAACGGUAACAGGAAGCAGCUUGCUGCUUCGCUGACGAGUGGCGGACGGGUGAGUAAUGUCUGGGAAACUGCCUGAUGGAGGGGGAUAACUACUGGAAACGGUAGCUAAUACCGCAUAACGUCGCAAGACCAAAGAGGGGGACCUUCGGGCCUCUUGCCAUCGGAUGUGCCCAGAUGGGAUUAGCUAGUAGGUGGGGUAACGGCUCACCUAGGCGACGAUCCCUAGCUGGUCUGAGAGGAUGACCAGCCACACUGGAACUGAGACACGGUCCAGAC
rnacentral:rRNA from 1 species